rnacentral:lncRNA from 1 species
AUGCCGCGGGGCCGCCCCCCGAAGCCCAAGGAGAGCAAGGCGCGCGGCGAGACCGGUAAGCGGCCCCGGCCCGGCCGCGCUGUGCCGCUCCGCGCGAAUAUAGUCCCCCGACGCGGCGCGGGGGGCGCCGGGAGCGGGCUGGGCCGGGGGCGGCGGAGCGGGCUGGGGUUGGGGACCGGGAGCCGGGUCCGGGCCGAGGUGGGCGCUCUGCCACCGUCACCACCGCCGCCGCCGCCCGACUGCUGGGUCGCAGGGUGCGGGCGGAAUGAUACCGGCGCGGCGCGGCCGGCCCCUCCGCCGGGCUGGGCCUACUUUCCUGGGCCGCGCGGGCGGGCGGCGGGGCCGGGGGCGAGGCGCGCGCCGCCGCCCUCCUCCUCUCUCUCCUCUACUCUCUCUUCUCCUCCCCCCCCGUUCCUCCCCCCCCGUUCCUCCUCCCCCCUCCACACUCCGUCCUCCUCCCCCGUCCUCGGCGUCUUCCUCCCGCUCCCCCGCCCGCCACCUUCCUCCCGCUCCCCCGCCCGCCCCCUUCCUCCCGCUCCCCCGCCCGCCGCCGGCCCCCCCCCGGGGCCGCGGCAGCUCGCGGUCGGGCCGGGCCCGCCACCCCCGGGGACGCACACCGGGCCGGCGCCUUCUCCUCAGAAAGGCCUCCCACGACCUGCGGCAGCCGGGCCGGGAGAGCGCUGGGGCAGGUCGUGGGAGGCCUUUCUGAGGAGAAGGCGCCGGCCCGGUGUGCGUCCCCGGGGGUGGCGGGCCCGGCCCGACCGCGAGCUGCCGCGGCCCCGGGGGGGCGCCUGCGGGGGGCUCGGGAGCGGGUACCCCCGCGGUGACACGUGGGCCGAGACCGUGCGGGGCUCGUGUCCAGGUGCACCGUCUUCCGGGCCCGGGCUCGGUGGCCCAGCGUCACCCUCCCCUGAGGCUCGGGACCCAGGCGGGCGGGCGCUCCGGAUUUCGGAAGAGAAAGAGGUGGUGUCUGGAAGGGAAGGCCGUUGCGUCCGUUCCAUUUUGCCGCUGCGGCGUUUGGGAAGAGAGGAGGAGAGACUAGGUGUAAGAUUAGCGGCGUUGUCAGUGCUCUUACUGCAGUUGCUGAAGUUCACGGGCAUGGGAACCGGGCUGCAGCGCCCGCGAGUUUCCGCGGGAGAGGUGUCGCUGGAGAACAGGCCAGGUGUGCACGUUUGUAGUUGGCUAGUGGCUGCUAGAGUUCUCGUUAGUGGCUGA